rnacentral:rRNA from 1 species
CAGAGCCCGUUAAUGGGUGAUGGCGUGCCUUUUGUAGAAUGAACCGGCGAGUUACGAUCUGAUGCAAGGUUAAGCAGAAAAUGUGGAGCCGUAGCGAAAGCGAGUCUGAAUAGGGCGUAUAGUAUUUGGUCGUAGACCCGAAACCAGGUGAUCUACCCAUGGUCAGGUUGAAGUUCAGGUAACACUGAAUGGAGGACCGAACCGACUUACGUUGAAAAGUGAGCGGAUGAACUGUGGGUAGCGGAGAAAUUCCAAUCGAACUUGGAGAUAGCUGGUUCUCUCCGAAAUAGCUUUAGGGCUAGCCUCAAGUGAUGAUUAUUGGAGGUAGAGCACUGUUUGGACGAGGGGCCCCUCUCGGGUUACCGAAUUCAGACAAACUCCGAAUGCCAAUUAAUUUAACUUGGGAGUCAGAACAUGGGUGAUAAGGUCCGUGUUCGAAAGGGAAACAGCCCAGACCACCAGCUAAGGUCCCAAAAUAUAUGUUAAGUGGAAAAGGAUGUGGCGUUGCCCAGACAACUAGGAUGUUGGCUUAGAAGCAGCCAUCAUUUAAAGAGUGCGUAAUAGCUCACUAGUCGAGUGACACUGCGCCGAAAAUGUACCGGGGCUAAACAUAUUACCGAAGCUGUGGAUUGUCCUUUGGACAAUGGUAGGAGAGCGUUCUAAGGGCGUUGAAGCAUGAUCGCAAGGACAUGUGGAGCGCUUAGAAGUGAGAAUGCCGGUGUGAGUAGCGAAAGACGGGUGAGAAUCCCGUCCACCGAUUGACUAAGGUUUCCAGAGGAAGGCUCGUCCGCUCUGGGUUAGUCGGGUCCUAAGCUGAGGCCGACAGGCGUAGGCGAUGGAUAACAGGUUGAUAUUCCUGUACCACCUAUAAUCGUUUUAAUCGAUGGGGGGACGCAGUAGGAUAGGCGAAGCGUACGAUUGGAUUGUACGUCUAAGCAGUGAGAUUGAGUGUUAGGCAAAUCCGGCACUCUUAAGAUUGAGCUGUGAUGGGGAGAGGAAAUUGUUUCCUCGAGUCGUUGAUUUCACACUGCCGAGAAAAGCCUCUAGAUAGAGAUUAGGUGCCCGUACCGCAAACCGACACAGGUAGUCAAGAUGAGAAUUCUAAGGUGAGCGAGCGAACUCUCGUUAAGGAACUCGGCAAAAUGACCCCGUAACUUCGGGAGAAGGGGUGCUCUUUAGGGUGCAAGCCCAGAAGAGCCGCAGUGAAUAGGCCCAAGCGACUGUUUAUCAAAAACACAGGUCUCUGCUAAACCGUAAGGUGAUGUAUAGGGGCUGACGCCUGCCCGGUGCUGGAAGGUUAAGAGGAGUGGUUAGCUUCUGCGAAGCUACGAAUCGAAGCCCCAGUAAACGGCGGCCGUAACUAUAACGGUCCUAAGGUAGCGAAAUUCCUUGUCGGGUAAGUUCCGACCCGCACGAAAGGCGUAACGAUUUGGGCACUGUCUCAACGAGAGACUCGGUGAAAUCAUAGUACCUGUGAAGAUGCAGGUUACCCGCGACAGGACGGAAAGACCCCGUGGAGCUUUACUGUAGCCUGAUAUUGAAAUUCGGCACAGCUUGUACAGGAUAGGUAGGAGCCUUUGAAACGUGAGCGCUAGCUUACGUGGAGGCGUUGGUGGGAUACUACCCUAGCUGUGUUGGCUUUCUAACCCGCACCACUUAUCGUGGUGGGAGACAGUGUCAGGCGGGCAGUUUGACUGGGGCGGUCGCCUCCUAAAAGGUAACGGAGGCGCUCAAAGGUUCCCUCAGAAUGGUUGGAAAUCAUUCAUAGAGUGUAAAGGCAUAAGGGAGCUUGACUGCGAGACCUACAAGUCGAGCAGGGUCGAAAGACGGACUUAGUGAUCCGGUGGUUCCGCAUGGAAGGGCCAUCGCUCAACGGAUAAAAGCUACCCCGGGGAUAACAGGCUUAUCUCCCCCAAGAGUUCACAUCGACGGGGAGGUUUGGCACCUCGAUGUCGGCUCAUCGCAUCCUGGGGCUGUAGUCGGUCCCAAGGGUUGGGCUGUUCGCCCAUUAAAGCGGUACGCGAGCUGGGUUCAGAACGUCGUGAGACAGUUCGGUCCCUAUCCGUCGUGGGCGUAGGAAAUUUGAGAGGAGCUGUCCUUAGUACGAGAGGACCGGGAUGGACAUACCUCUGGUGUACCAGUUGUCGUGCCAACGGCAUAGCUGGGUAGCUAUGUAUGGACGGGAUAAGUGCUGAAAGCAUCUAAGCAUGAAGCCCCCCUCAAGAUGAGAUUUCCCAACUUCGGUUAUAAGAUCCCUCAGAGAUGAUGAGGUUAAUAGGUUCGAGGUGGAAGCGUGGUGACACGUGGAGCUGACGAAUACUAAUCGAUCGAAGACUUAAUCAA